rnacentral:rRNA from 1 species
UGCAGUCGAGCGGACAGAUGGGAGCUUGCUCCCUGAUGUUAGCGGCGGACGGGUGAGUAACACGUGGGUAACCUGCCUGUAAGACUGGGAUAACUCCGGGAAACCGGGGCUAAUACCGGAUGGUUGUUUGAACCGCAUGGUUCAAACAUAAAAGGUGGCUUCGGCUACCACUUACAGAUGGACCCGCGGCGCAUUAGCUAGUUGGUGAGGUAACGGCUCACCAAGGCAACGAUGCGUAGCCGACCUGAGAGGGUGAUCGGCCACACUGGGACUGAGACACGGCCCAGACUCCUACGGGAGGCAGCAGUAGGGAAUCUUCCGCAAUGGACGAAAGUCUGACGGAGCAACGCCGCGUGAGUGAUGAAGGUUUUCGGAUCGUAAAGCUCUGUUGUUAGGGAAGAACAAGUACCGUUCGAAUAGGGCGGUACCUUGACGGUACCUAACCAGAAAGCCACGGCUAACUACGUGCCAGCAGCCGCGGUAAUACGUAGGUGGCAAGCGUUGUCCGGAAUUAUUGGGCGUAAAGGGCUCGCAGGCGGUUUCUUAAGUCUGAUGUGAAAGCCCCCGGCUCAACCGGGGAGGGUCAUUGGAAACUGGGGAACUUGAGUGCAGAAGAGGAGAGUGGAAUUCCACGUGUAGCGGUGAAAUGCGUAGAGAUGUGGAGGAACACCAGUGGCGAAGGCGACUCUCUGGUCUGUAACUGACGCUGAGGAGCGAAAGCGUGGGGAGCGAACAGGAUUAGAUACCCUGGUAGUCCACGCCGUAAACGAUGAGUGCUAAGUGUUAGGGGGUUUCCGCCCCUUAGUGCUGCAGCUAACGCAUUAAGCACUCCGCCUGGGGAGUACGGUCGCAAGACUGAAACUCAAAGGAAUUGACGGGUGCCCGCACCAAGCGGUGGAGCAUGUGGUUUAAUUCGAAGCAACGCGAAGAACCUUACCAGGUCUUGACAUCCUCUGACAAUCCUAGAGAUAGGACGUCCCCUUCGGGGGCAGAGUGACAGGUGGUGCAUGGUUGUCGUCAGCUCGUGUCGUGAGAUGUUGGGUUAAGUCCCGCAACGAGCGCAACCCUUGAUCUUAGUUGCCAGCAUUCAGUUGGGCACUCUAAGGUGACUGCCGGUGACAAACCGGAGGAAGGUGGGGAUGACGUCAAAUCAUCAUGCCCCUUAUGACCUGGGCUACACACGUGCUACAAUGGACAGAACAAAGGGCAGCGAAACCGCGAGGUUAAGCCAAUCCCACAAAUCUGUUCUCAGUUCGGAUCGCAGUCUGCAACUCGACUGCGUGAAGCUGGAAUCGCUAGUAAUCGCGGAUCAG